GCCAGGCACGGUGGUGCAUGUCUGUAGUCCCAGCUAUUUGGGAGGCUGAGGCUGGAGGAUCCUGAGUCCCAGGAGGUCUGGGCUGUAGUGUGCUAUGCCGAUUGGGUGUCUGCACUAAGUUCAGCAUCAAUAUGUUGACCUCCCAGGAGUGGGGGACCACUAGGUUGUCUAAGGAGGGGUGAACUGGCCCAGGUCGGAAAUGGAGGAGGUCAAAACUCCCGUGCUGAUCAGUAGUGGGAUCGUGCCUGUGAAUAGCCACUGCACUCCAGCCUGGGCAACAUAGCAAGACCCUGUCUCU
rnacentral:SRP_RNA from 1 species